ACUAAUAUAUGUGUCCCCUUCGGUAGGAAUAUGAAAACCAUAAAACUGGGGUUGAACUCUAGCACUUUAGGAACGUCUAAGAGGUAAGGACUCGUCAAUCGGUUCAACCGGAGUUUCCUCCUCCGGUUGAGUGCCAGCGGUAGAGGUUCCAUCAUCAAUCGACUGUUGAAUCUCUUCAAGCUCGAUUUUCCUCCCACUGUCUCCUUGGAUUAUGAGUUCUCGCUCUCGGAAAACUCCUCUCCUUGCAACAAAGACAACAUUGUCCUUCGGUCUAUAGAAGAGAUAUCCAAAGGAUUUCUGCGGGUAGCCGAUGAAAAUACAUCGCUCACUACGAGGUUCGCGCUUGUCGUGAGUAUCUCGUCUUACGAAAGCCUCGCAACCCCAAACCUUGAUAUGUGCUAACGAGGGUGCCUUCCCUGUCCACAUUUCGUGAGGUGCUUUGGCAACCUUCUUAGUAGGGACUCGGUUAAGGAUAUGGGCGGCAGUCUCUAAGGCAUACCCCCAGAAUGAGAUAGGUAGUGAAGCACGACUCAUCAUAGAAUGAACCAUGUACAAGAAGGUUCGAUUACGCCUUUCUGCCACACCAUUCAACUGCGGUGUCCUAGGAGGCGUCAAUUGUGAAACUAUUCCACACUCCUUGAGAUAAUCGUGGAAUUCAAGACUUAGGUACUCUCCUCCUCGAUCGGAUCGAAGCAUCUUGAUUUUCCUGCCCAAUUGAUUCUCCACUUCAUUCUUGAACUCUUUGAACUUUUCAAAGGUGUCUGACUUUUGCUUGAUUAAAUAGAUAUACCCAUAUCUACUAUAAUCAUCGGUAAAAGUCACGUAGAAGCGGUUCCCAUCCUUCGUGGUUGAUCUAAACGGUCCACAUACAUCGGUAUGUAUUAGGUCCAAUAGACCCUCACCCCUUUCACACGUACUCGUGAAGGGUGACUUAGUCAUCUUUCCAAGUAAACAAGACUCGCAUGUGUCAUCUUCCCUAAGGUCGAAUGACUCCAACACUCCAUCCUUUUGGAGUUGGGCUAUGCGUUUCUUGUUGACAUGUCCAAGACGACAAUGCCACAAGGAUGCUUUAUCCAUACUAGUGGAAGAAUCUAUGUUCAAAACAUCAUUUCCUAAGUUAUCAACAAUCAUAACAGUUUCAUAAAUUCCAUUACAUGGUAUAGCUUCAAAGUAAAAGACACCAUUUAGAUAAGCCAAAAUAGAACCAUUCUCAUUAUUAAAAGAAAAUCUAAAACCUUGUCUAUAUAAACCAUGAAAUGAAAUGAUGUUUCUAGCCAUUUCUGGCGAAUAGCAACAAUUGUUCAAAUCUAAACAUAAAUUAUUCCUAAGCACUAAAGAAUACACUCCAAUCUUGGUCACAGGCGACGAUCUUCUGUUCCCCAUGAUUAGAUUGAUUCUUCCUUGCUCCACAUCCCUACUUCUUCUUAGUCCCUGCACAUUAGAACAAAUGUGGUAACCACAACCGGUAUCAAGAACCCAAGAAAUAGCAUGAUUAGAAUCGUUAGAUUUAAUUGUAUAUAUACCUGCGAAAGAUGGCUUGAUCUUUCCUUCCUUGAUAGCUUGCAGGUAUUCUGGGCAGCUUCUCUUCCAAUAUCCUAUUUUGUGGUAAUGGUGGCACUCUGCCUUCUUUGGGUUAGGACAGGGUUUAGCAGGAUCAACUUUGGUCCCACUAGAAGAGGCACCAUCUCGGGACUUAACUUUGCGAUGGUUCUUAGACGAAGCCUUCCUCUUCUUUCGUCUUCCUUGCCCAAUGGCCGAAACAGGAGUAGCGGGUGGUUUGGGAAUUGGUGCAACAGACUUGUCCUUGAGGUUGCUCUCAGCAACCCUUAGGAGACCUUGGAGUUUGCUUAGGGUGACCUCUUCCUUGUUCAUGUGGUAGGUCAUCCUAAAUUGGUUGUAACACGAAGGCAAGGAGUGAAGCCCCAUGUCGAUUGCCAAGUCUUCCCCAAAGUCAACAUUCAACUUGCGAAGACGAUCGACAUACCUUUGCAUCUUUUGCAGGUGCACGGUUAAAGAUUCUGCAUGACCCAUCAUAGCGGAGAUAAUGUUAGUGAAGAUCUCAUAACGUUCCUGCCUCGCGUUUUGAUGGUAUCUCUCCAAUAAGUCUUGGUGCAUUUCGUACGGAUACAUGUACUCAUAGGACUUUUGGAAUUCGGAGUUCAUUAUGGCUAUCAUGAUGCAAUGAACCUUCGUUGCAUCACGUUCAUGAGUCUCAAAAGCAGUCAUUUCAGCCGGAGUAGCGAUUUCUGGGUUGAUCUUCUCGAGCUUCUCAUCGAGGACAUACUCCUUGUCCUCGUAGCGAGCAAUGGUGCGAAUGUAUCUUAUCCAUUCGCUAAAGUUCGUCCCAUCGAAAGUCACCUUUUGGCAAAGGCUCAUCAAUGUGAAUGAACUCGCAGCAACGUUGUUUGUGUUCGACAUCUACAAAUAGAAAGGACAAAGAUAGAAAAUGGAUCCAACAACAUUAUUUACAUGUUAGAAAAUGGAUGCCGUAAUCCAACAUGCAAACAAUUUGAAGGUAAGUGAAUGACGAUUCACUAAUUCUCCACCACGAAAACAUAACAUUAAGUUCUAAAUGUAUUGAGAAUUCCUAGGUUUCGAUGAGAUUCAUUGAACUUUUCAAUGGCAUGUUUAAAUCUCGAUAUGCCCCUCUCAUUUGUGACUGGGAUACCGAGGAUCACAAAGUGGGUGUGAAUAACCAUGCAAAUAUACAUGGUGCCUUCAUUGUAACAAUUACCUAUUCGAUGUGCCGGUAAACCACACACGAUCCAUCGAACUAUGAUAAACAAUGAAUCACCCUUUACCACCUUUACUUAGAACCAAUUAGUGUGCCGGUAAACCACGCACGCUCCACUAACUUCUUAGCAAGGGUGCAAAGUGUAAUUUCAUGGGAUUGCAUCAAUUCACUUUUCCUAAAGUAACUAGGAUUGGGAAUUUUGAAAAACAUGUAGUUACUUUGUAUUCUUAUAUUAUACUUUUAAUGAGAAGAUGAGGUUGCCCUAUCCUACCCGUUCGGCUAACGACCCUCCACCAGUCAAGCAAGCGGUGGGUGUGAGUGUACACCCAUUAUGCGCCAUUUUAUAGGCAGCAACCUUAUACCCACCUUAUAGACUAGCUUCGUGAAUGAGGCCUACUAACGGUAAGACUAGCAUUUUAAAUAUACAUAUAUAUUUAUUAAGCUUGUAAUAAUAUAAUAGUAUAGGGUAUAUUUUAAACAUUUCAAAAUACUAGGGUUUUAAUUAAAAUUUUUCAAAAUUUAAUGCCAUUUAAAUUAAAAAUUUUAAAUAUUAAAACUCUUGAUUUAAUAAUUAUCUUAAAUUAAACUAUUAAUUUCAAAUUAUCAAAUCAUAAGGGAUUAUCUAAAUCAUAUGGAUAAUUACCAUUUAAACAUUUAAGUUAUCCUAAUCCCAUAAAUCCCUCUAUAAAUUUCGAAAAUAGGGAUGGGAUAAUUCAUGAUCUUUAAUUACCAUAUUUAACUAUUAAAGGAUAAUUACAAGAUAUGAGAUUAUCCAAAUCCCUAAAAUUUAGGAUCUUAUCUUGGGGAAGGAGGCAAAUCUCGAAAUCUAAGGGUUUGCAAACCCUAGAUUUCGAAAUCUUGGAUUAAAGGAAAGGAUUCAAAAAACCUUUUUACAAUUUUUGCAAAUUAGGGUUAGGAAACCCUAAUCUCGAAAUUUCCAUGCCUCGUAGGGUUUAACACAAGAAUAAAACCCUAAAGUAAAAUGCUAUUUUUGAAAUUAAUAUACAAGGUUAGAUUACAUACCUCUUGUUGUUAUAUUGCAAUAAAAACUUAAAUCUUCAAACCCUUAGUCUUGAAAGCAAGCACCACAAAUGUAGUGCCUCUAAUGGCUCACAAACACCACAAGCAAUUGAAGAGGCUUUAGAGAGAGAACGGAAGAGGUGGGAAUUCGUCCUUAGGACCUCUUAGGAGCAUGUACACGAAUUCUCAAGGCCUAGGGGUCUUUAUAUAGGGUUUAGAUUAGGGUUUCAAUCCUUAUCCUUAUCUAGUUGCUUGCCCAUCAAGCAACAACAAGGUAAGCCUUGAAAAACCCUUAUCUCUUGGACCUUGGACGAUUUUAAGGAUAUCCUUAUCCUUGAAUUCGUCCAUCCUUUAACAUGGAUAAUUAUUGCCCUAUCUUGCAACUAUCUCAUAAUUACAAUUCAGCCCCUCUAGUUUAAUUAAUUACACUUGAUCACAAAAUUAAUUCCUAAUUAAUUAUUGACCAAUAUUAAUUAAACAAAUAUGAUUUUUCCUUGAAUAUAUUAUUCUUAUAACAUAUUAAUAAAUCAUAAUAACCUCUCUCUCUAUUUAAUUUCUCCAAUCAAGUUGCCUUGGUGAAGGCAACCCAAAAGGACCAUGCACAACUGGGCCAAGUACUUACCAAAUAUGCUUACGGGCUUAGACACUAAUCCAAUAGUCUCCCACUUGGAUAAGUCUAGUAACCACAAAUGCAACGUACAAAUCGAUUGGUAAUCGUAGCUCUCAAAGACGCUGUCAAACUCUAAUCUUAUUAGUAACCUGUCAUUUAGAUAAGGGAUCGUACAGUCCUCUGUUAAGAUAUUAUGCAGACAAUCUCAUGGAACUAGAUGUCCAGCAGUUGGUUUCUCGAUCUCAGAUUUAUUCGACAUAGAACUUAAUCGAACACAUCAAUUUAGUUCUGACCGGGCCCAGCACAUAAGUCAAAUCAAAUCAUCGAGCGGCUGUGAUAUCGCUUUUAUCCUCUUAGGAUAAAAGUAACAGAUAAACUUCGACUUAUAUGCAUUUACUUAUCCACUAAUCAACUAUACACAACAAUGCGUUUUAUAACAUCAAUUUACUGAUGCGGUUUUGCAUUAUCAAUGCACAAUCAAUUAGUAAAUAAUAAACCAUAUAUCUAGGUUUUAAGACCAUAUGAUAUUAUCGUCUUGAGAUCACCCUUUUUAUUACAUUCCAUAAGGUGAUCCCAGCAAACGUGGGUUUAUUCCAAUGCUCAAAACUUGUUCAUAAGCACUCAUGAACGUUGCAUCAAACCUUUGACAUGUCUAACACCUUUUAGACACUCUACAUACCAAUUCAUGACAAUCUUCAUUCAUAGCUACUUCCAACAUAUGAACGAUUGUGGACCAUUCGAAUAAUUCGAUUAUUCUUAAUAACUUAAUUAUUCAGGAAUUCAAAACAUGCAAAUUGAAACAAUAGUUAAACAAUUAACACAAGACAGUAACUUUACUUAUAAAUAAUACUCCUUUAUUUAAUCAUCAGAUGUCAAUUACAUUUAUCUAUUAUAUGUUUCUAAAACUAUCUAAUUUAAACUAGUAUCAUCCUUCAGCCCAAUGCUCCUAGCGUGCUGCAAGUGCUUAACCCUACUCAGUCCCUUCGUAUGUGGAUCUGCAGGGUUACUUAUGAUGAUAUCCUCUUAACCACGAGGUGUCCUUCUUCUAGUCAAUGUCUAAUAAAGUGAUACUUUCUGUCGAUAUGCCGAGAUCUACCAUGAUCCCUCGGCUCCUUGGUCAAGGCAACCGCUCCUUCAUUGUCACCGAAAAUUUCCAUAGGCUCCUUUAUGGUAGGCACAACUCCAAGGUGACCAAUGAAGUUCUUCAACCAUAUCGCCUCCUUUGACGCUUCGCUCGCUGCAAUGUACUCUGAUUCGCACGUUGAAUCGGCUACAGUUUCCUGCUUGGAACUUUUCCAAGUUACUGCUCCUCUAUUCAGGGUAAAGACCCAGCCCGACUGCGAACGGUAGUUAUCCUUGUCGAUCUGAAAACUGGCGUCACUAUACCCUCGCACCUUCAAGUCAUCACUCCCUCCGAGGACUAAAAACCAUUCUUUGGUCCUCCGAAGGUACUUAAGGACAUUCUUGACCGCAAUCGAAUGGGCUCUGCCAAGAUUCCCUUGAUAUCUACUAACCACGCUCAAAGCAAAGGCUACAUCAGGGCGAGUACAAGUCAUAGCAUACAAGAUUGAGCCAACUGCUGAAGCGUAUGGAAGUCGGCUCAUUUCUGCUAUCUCAGCUUCAGUACUCGGACUUUGAGUCUUACUCAACUUGGCAUUACUUUGUAUCGGGAAUUCUCCCUUCUUCGAAUUUUCCAUACUAAAAUGUUUUAGUACUUUAUCUAAGUAAGUGUUCUGACUAAGUCCUAUUAGUCUCUUACUUCGUUCGCUCACUAUCCUUAUUCCCAAAAUAUAGGAAGCCUCUCCGAGGUCCUUCAUAGCGAAGCACUUCCCGAGCCAGGACUUAACCUCCUGCAGAGUCGGGACGUCGUUUCCUAUGAGUAGUAUGUCAUCGACAUACAAAACAAGGAAGCUACCUAUACUCCCACUGGCUUUGACAUAUACACAUGAUUCAUCUUCACUUCCUACAAAUCCAUACUCUUUGACUUUCUCAUCGAAACAAAGAUUCCAUCUGCGAGACGCUUGCUUAAGCCCAUAAAUGGACUUCUCAAGCUUGCUCACUCUAUUCGGAUGCUUCGAAUCGACAAAACCCUCUAGCUGAGCCAUGUAAACAUCCUCAACCAACUUCCCAUUAAGAAAAGCGGUCUUGACAUCCAUCUGCCAUAUUUCAUAAUCAGGAAAUGCAGCAAUGGCUAGCAUCACCCUAAUAGACUUUAUUUUAGCAACUGGUGAGAAGGUCUCAACAUAAUCAACUCCGGGAGUUUGAGUAAAGCCCUUCGCAACCAAUCGCGCCUAAUAUGUGUGUACAUUUCCAUCCACGUCGGUCUUCUUCUUGAAGAUCCAUUUGCACCCAACGGUCUUACAUCCGGGCACAUUAUCAACCAAAUUCCAAACUUGGUUGUCAUACAUGGACUGGAUCUCGCUGUCCACUGCCUCUUUCCAUUUUGCAGACUUCGGGCCUGCCAUGGCUUCCUUAUAGCUAUUAGGUUCAUCUAGAUUUAUUAGUGUACCAUCACUAAUAUACUCUCCCCUUCGGUAGUAAUAUGAAAACCAUAAAACUGGGGUUGAACUCUAGCUCUUUCGGAACGUCUAAGAGGUAAGGACCCGUCAAUCGGUUCAACCGGAGUUUCCUCCUCGGGUUGAGUGCCAGCGGUAGAGGUUCCUUCAUCAAUCGACUCUUGAAUCUCUUCAAUAUCAAUUUGCCUCCCACUGUCUCCUUGGCUUAUGAGUUCUCGCUCUCGGAAUACUCCUCUCCUUACAACAAAGACAACAUUGUCCUUCGGUCUAUAGAAGAGAUAUCCAAAGGAUUUCUGCGGGUAGCCGAUGAAAAUACAUCGCUCACUUCGAGGUUCGAGCUUGUCGUGAGUAUCUCGUCUUACGAAAGCCUCGCAACCCCAAACCUUGAUGUGUGCCAACGAGGGAGCUUUCCCUGUCCACAUCUCGUGAGGUGUUUUGGCAACCUUCUUAGUAGGGACUCGGUUAAGGAUAUGGGCGGCAGUCUCUAAGGCAUACCCCCAGAAUGAGAUAGGUAGUGAAGCACGACUCAUCAUAGAGCGAACCAUAUCUAACAAGGUUCGAUUACGCCUUUCUGCCACACCAUUCAACUGCGGUGUCCUAGGUGGCGUCAAUUGUGAAACUAUUCCACACUCCUUGAGAUAAUCGUGGAAUUCAAGACUUAGGUACUCUCCUCCUCGAUCGGAUCGAAGCAUCUUGAUUUUCCUGCCCAAUUGAUUCUCCACUUCAUUCUUGAACUCUUUGAACUUUUCAAAGGUUUCUGACUUUUGCUUGAUUAAGUAGAUAUACCCAUAUCUACUAUAGUCAUCGGUAAAAGUCACAUAGAAGCGGUUCCCAUCCUUCGUGGUUGAUCUAAACGGUCCACAUACAUCGGUAUGUAUUAGGUCCAAUAGACCCUCGCCCCUUUCACACGUACUCGUGAAGGGUGACUUAGUCAUCUUUCCAAGCAAACAAGACUCGCAUGUGUCAUCUUCCCUAAGGUCGAAUGACUCCAACACUCCAUCCUUUUGGAGUUGGGCUAUGCGCUUCUUGUUGACAUGUCCAAGACGACAAAGCCACAAACAUGCUUUAUCCAUACUAUUGGACGAAUCCAUGCAUAAAACAUCAUUUCCUAGGUUAUCUAUAAUCAUAACAGUUUCAUAAAUUCCAUUACAUGGUAUUGCUUCAAAAUAUAAGACACCAUUCAGAUAAGCAUAAACUGAACCAUUCUCAUUAUUAAAAAAAAUCUAAAUCCUUGUCUAAACAAACCAUGAAACGAAAUGAUGUUUCUUGCCAUUUCUGGCGAGUAGCAACAAUUAUUUAAAUCUAAACAUAGACCAUUACUAAUCACUAAAGAAUACACUCCAAUCUUGGUUACAAGCGACGAUCUUCUAUUCCCCAUGAUUAGAUUUAUUCUUCCAAGCUCCACAUCCCUAUUUCUUCUUAGUCCCUGCAAUUUUGAACAAAUGUGGUAACCACACACGGUAUCAAGAACCCAAGAAAUAUCAUGAGGUGAAUCAUUAGAUUUAAUUGUAUAAAUACAUGCGAAAGAUGGCUUGAUGUUUCCUUCCUUGAUAGCUUGCAGGUAUUCUGGGCAGCUUCUCUUCCAAUAUCCUAUUUUGUGGUAAUGGUGGCACUCUGCCUCCUUUGGGUUAGGACAGGGUUUAGCAGGAUCAACUUUGGUCCCACUAGAAGAGGCACCAUCUCGGUUCGAAUACACCUUUCUGCCACACCAUCCAACUGCGGUGUCCUAGGUGGCGUCAAUUGUGAAACUAUUCCACACUCCUUGAGAUAGUUGUGGAAUUCAAGACUUAGGUACUCUCCUCCUCGAUCGGAUCGAAGCAUCUUGAUUUUCCUGCCCAACUGAUUCUCCACUUCAUGUUUGAAUUCUUUGAACUUUUCAAAUGUUUCUGACUUUUGCUUGAUUAAGUAAAUAUACCC
rnacentral:lncRNA from 1 species